UAGUUAUUCUCAACCAUCCGAUCUAAUCGGACAAUCCAAAUGGCCAUAAAUUUAACCCAUUUGCUAUAUAUAGUCCACGGCUAGUCCAAAAUCAGACAAACCCUAAUUUGUAGGAACCUACCCUAACAUCGCCAGCCACAUUCCCUCAGGAUCCACUCCCGAUCCACCUCCCCGGGAAACCACUGUAUCCAGCCAGCCAACCCAAUCUACUCCCUCUUCUCCACCGUUGGAUCGUGGAUGGAUGACCAUGAGAGCCUCCCAGCCCCUACGCUCGCUCGUACAGGCGCCUCUUGCCUUGGAGCUCAAUCCCUCAUUCUCGAGAGCUGCCGCCGCCUUCGUUCCGCCAUCGGCAGCCGCGUCGGCGAGCGCCGCCGCCGGACCUACAUCGCCAAAGGCUAGCCCUUAUUGCCCGCUGCAGUAGCUUCUCUCCUUUUUCCACGAACUCUCUCUCUCUCUAAUUUCCCUCUCACUGUCGUUCUAUCCCGGAGAUUCCAUGGCCGUGCCUAGUGAAGCCCCAACGUCGCCACCACGGGAACUGUCCGGAUCCGUUGAACAUCGCCCAGAUCCGGUGUCCCUCACCCAUGCAUCAUCCGCGCAUCCAAGGUCCAGCUCGCCCGCACUGUCGCUCCCCUGCAUCUCAAGGCACUGCGCGCAGCUCUCUGCAUGAAAGCAGUAACGCAAGUGCAGCAAACGUGCUUUCAUCGACCACGCGUGCACUCAUCUUGGGCUGGCCCAUCCGUCAGCCGUGACCUCCUCUGUGUGCGUCCCCAUCCACCAGACCCGAAGGCCCGACCUCCCUUGCCCAUUCCCAGCAUGGUCAUGGCCAUCAUCCUCUGUUUCCCGAUGUGUGAAUUGUAUCUGAACUUCGUAUUUUCGUAGAUCCGUUCUGGUUGUAGAGGUUAUUUAGACUUGGCACUAUAUUUGUCCACGAGCACAAUAUUACUGCAGUUCGCUAGACUAGCCAACCUGGACCUCGAGGUCCCGAGUUCGAAUUUCAGGUCCACCAAUUUUUGCAUGUUUCUCUUUAAUUGGACGCACACACACAUUGACCAAUUGGGUCGAUUCCCC
rnacentral:lncRNA from 1 species